rnacentral:rRNA from 1 species
GAUGAACGCUGGCGGCGUGCCUAAUACAUGCAAGUCGAGCGAACAGACGAGGAGCUUGCUCCUCUGACGUUAGCGGCGGACGGGUGAGUAACACGUGGAUAACCUACCUAUAAGACUGGGAUAACUUCGAGAAACCGGAGCUAAUACCGGAUAAUAUAUUGAACCGCAUGGUUCAAUAGUGAAAGACGGUUUUGCUGUCACUUAUAGAUGGAUCCGCGCCGCAUUAGCUAGUUGGUAAGGUAACGGCUUACCAAGGCAACGAUGCGUAGCCGACCUGAGAGGGUGAUCGGCCACACUGGAACUGAGACACGGUCCAGACUCCUACGGGAGGCAGCAAUAGGGAAUCUUCCGCAAUGGGCGAAAGCCUGACGGAGCAACGCCGCGUGAGUGAUGAAGGUCUUCGGAUCGUAAAACUCUGUUAUUAGGGAAGAACAAAUGUGUAAGUAACUAUGCACGUCUUGACGGUACCUAAUCAGAAAGCCACGGCUAACUACGUG